rnacentral:rRNA from 16 species
GGAUGCGAUCAUACCGGCACUAAAGCACCGGAUCCCAUCAGAACUCCGAAGUUAAGCGUGCUUGGGUGAGAGUAGUACUAGGAUGGGUGACCUCGUGGGAAGUCCUCGUGUUGCAUUCG